rnacentral:lncRNA from 1 species
CCAUUGCUGCUUAGAGUUUCAGUCACAUCAAGAGUGUGUAGUGAAUAACCUGUAAUGAGUAGGUACAUGUACCAGAUCUGUACAUGAAAACAUGUAUGAACAUGAGUACAGACACAUAAUAGGAAACAAUUUUAUUUUUAAAAUCCAUAUAGCCGAUAAUCAUUUUAUUCUUUCCAACAGAUGUGCAAACACGAAUGUUAUGAAUUUCGUUUUGGGGUCAAUAGAGUUGGCGCAGGUUGCCGUAACUGGCCUUUUGCGAUGUCCUGAUAUCAGUUUGGAAGAAGAGCUCCGUACUCUGGGGAAUCGUCACUCAUACUCGAGUCAACCUGCAGACAAGUCGGCCAGUUUGUCCAGACAGGAUGUCCUUCUCGCUUGAAGGUCCCGAGAAACAUUACGUAAAAUUGGCAUGCGAUGGUGUAGAGGUUGGGUGAGAAUGACACGUGUUUCAUCAUUAUCAAGCAGACCCAUCCCCAGCAACGUCAACCACCCAUCCUGCAGAAGGGAUGGCCAUUUUACAAAUCGAAGGUCAUGGAGAUCAUUACGUAGAACGUGUCAGUGGUGUAGAGGUUGGGUGAGAACGGGACGUUUUUCAUCAUUAUCAAGAAGUUAAUUAUGGUGCAUUCUGCUGUUGGUUAUCGUUGUGUCGACCACUGGUGUACCGAUGUCUCCUGGGUAUGGCGGAUACCAAACCGCAACGCCGACGUCUUACAACCAAACAACAUCAAAUGCAACGACCAGUUACUACACCGAGGCCCCCCCCCCCAACUACUACACUGAGAAGGCCGAAUGUUACACAGCCAUGUAUGCUGCCCAAGUUUACUACACCGACAGGCCCAAGUAUUACUCUGCUCCAAGCUACUACCAAACAGAGGCUUCUGACUUCACCAAGGCCCCCGAGUAUUAAACUACAACCUACGCUUCCCCGAGCUACUACACUGAAGCUCCAAAGUACUACACCGCCAAGGCAAUUGAACACCCCAACCUACGCUUCUCCACCUUACUACACACGGCAACAACUGUAGUGCUCUAUUAGUCAUCAACUUUAGUCUUGGUUGUGCAACCAGUUCGCAAUCAUGCUUAGUUUUGACGUCGUACUGCUGUUGGGUGAAUCAGUACGAGAAAAAGACGUAUAUAAAAGGAGAGGGAAAAGGCGAUGGAGUUCAGUCGAGUGAGCAUCUCCGACCCGGCAACAACUGCAGCACAAUAUUUGGCAUCAACUGCAUUCUUCCAAUUCUGAAUCAUGGUUAUCUAUGGCGUCGUUCUACCUUUGGCUAUCGUUUAUUGCUGAGUCGACCACUGUUCUACCAAAGUCUCAUGGGUAUGGAGGAUACCAAACCACAACGUCGCCGCCUAACUACAUAACAACAUACGCAACAACCAGUUAUUACACCGAGGCCCACAAGUACUCCUCCGAUCCCAGCUACUAUACCGAGGCUCCAGCUUAUUACACCAUCGAGGGCCACAAGUACUACACCACAAGGCACCGGAGUAUUACACCACAACCUACGCUGCUCCAGCCUACUACACCGAGGCUCCCAAGUAUUACUCUGCUCCAGCUUACUACACCGAGGUCCUAAAUACUACUCUGCUCCCAGCUAAAUACCCACAACUAAGGCGUCCGAGUAUUAUGCAGUACCUACUUACUACACAGCGGCUUCUCCAUCGUACUACGUUGAUCAGAAUUACUACUCCGAGGUUCCAGUUUAUUUCA